rnacentral:rRNA from 1 species
GGUAUUUUGACUAUACGAAGGUAUUGAAAUAAGAUUUUAAAUGAGUGCUAAGAGAAUGAUUAAACAAUUAAAAGCUUUCUUUAAUUGAAUAAUUGAAUUUAAUUUUUUAGUGCAAAAGCAAAAAUAAAAAUUAGGGACAAGAAGACCCUAUGAAUUUUUUAUUAAAUUUUAUAAAACUUUAUAUAAAAUUUAAUUUAAUUGGGGUGAUGGAAAAAGAAUAAAUAUCUUUUUUUUAAAAGAAAAUUGGUUCCGUUCUUAGCGAUUAAAUGAAAAAAAUACUCUAGGGAUAACAGCGUAAUAAUUUUGGAUAGUUCAUAUAGAUAAAAUAGUUUGCGACCUCGAUGUUGGAUUAGGAUUCUUUUUUGGUGAAGAAGU